ensembl:ncRNA C07A12.13 ncRNA
UCUUGUCACUUUGCGUUCACCUGUCUGUCUUUUGAUGUAGUAUAUGGAACAGUUUUCUUAUCCAUUCGCUAUAUCUCCAUUACCUUACUCGCCUCUUGUUUCUUUUCUCUCGGAGAUAUAUACCAGAUAGAC